CACGCACACACAUUUCAUGCACAUGUUGCCUCCUCCUCCUGUAUGAAUAGUGUGACUGUGAGCAGGAGGCAGUCAGGGAGCAUUCAGCAGUACUGCCUGCAUUGCCUAGCUGCAUGGUCAUAACACAUCGUUGUCUGGGGCAAGAGGGCAGCAGGCCAUGCAUGAACACACAGACAGACAAGGGGAUAUAAUGGUGCUCAGUUACUCUUAGGAACUGGAGAGAGUUCAGCGUUCCACGUUUUCACUGCCAAACAGUCUCUGAAAACAGAAAGCGCUGAGACUCGUGUUUGCUUGCUCCUAUUCCAAGUUUUUGAUUCAUCUCAACCCAUUUUUCCCCCCAAACAUGGGGUGCUCCUCAUCCAGUGCACAGACCGUUGAUCAAGAAAAAAGACCAGGCACAAAGCCUGAGGAGAGCAAUGGAGACACAGUGGCAGUCAAAAACGGCAUCAUUGCAGAAGAUCCUCAAACCAUCGAGGACCAGAUGCAGCUUCCUGUGCAGACUGCGUUACCCGAUGAUCUUCAGAGGGGUGCUGAUGAUGAAGCUGAGGCUGUGUUAGUGGCCCUGGAGGCCCAAGAGGACCUUGGCUCUGGGGAGGACCUUCUAGCUGCUUCUGAGGUAAAGGAAGAACCUACUGCUACUGAAGAGACAGCGCCAGAGGCUGCUGCUUCUGCUCCUGCUUCUGCUCCUGCUCCUGCUGAGCCUGAGGCUGCUAUAGCAAUUGUUGAGGCACUACCCCUGGCUGAAGAAGCUGCUCCUGUAGAAACUGUAGAGGCAGAAGCCCCUCCUGAGGUUGAAGCUCCUGUUGAGACUGCAAAAGAGGCCCCUGCUGUUGAAUCAUCAGCUGAAGCGGUGCAGGCAGAGGCCUCUGCCAUCACUGAGGAGGUGGUUGCAGUGCCUGACGCUGAACCGGUUAUAUCUGAGCCAACUGUGAACCCAGUUAUUACAGAAGAGGCUUCAGCCGAGGCUGUGGGGGCGCCUGCUGAAGUGGCUGCACCUGCGCAGGCCUCAGCAGACAAUUCUGAACCAGAGGCUGCUUUACCUGCACCAAGCGAAGCUUUAACAAAAACACCAGCUGAGUCUUCAGCACCAGCUGAAAUUUCAGAACCAACUGAAGCUGCACCACCUGCUGAACCCUCGGUGCCUAUUGAAGCUGCAGAGCCGGUAAUAGACACAGAGAUUGCUGCUGCAACUAUCCCAGAGAUGCCAGCGUUACCUUCUGUCAGAGAUGAGACCAAAGCUGAGCCACAGCCUGCUGCCGAGGAGCCGACAGAACCUACUCCAGCUCCUGCUCCAGCAGAGGCACCCGGCACCGCAGAGGAUGCCCCUGCUCCAGCUUUAGGAGUUGAACCUGCUGCUACUGAGCCGGUCCAGAAUGCAGAGGUUCCAGCUCCUGCUCCAGCUGCUUCAGAAACCCCUUCUGGGGUAACCUCAGAAGCUCCACCAGCCUGUGUCACCCAAGAGUCCACUGCAGACAGUGUAGCAGCAGUGGAGGCUCCUGUGGUUGAGCCCACCCCUACAGAAACUGAAGCACCUUCAGCACCAGCCCCAUCUACCGAUCCAGCUCCUGAAGAUUCACCAGGUGUGGAGUCUGCAAGCGAGGUGUCUCAGGAUACAGAGGGUGAGAAAGCCAAAAAGGAGGACUGAGUUGAGAGGAAAGAAUGCAACAAAACGCCCAAAGCUACCACUGUAAACCUACUGGAAGGAGGACAAGAUGAAGUAAACAGAAGAAUAAAACAACUGAUUUUCAGUUUUGUCUCAUCAGCACUCACCAAACACCACAUUUCCUAAUAUUCACUGUGCCUUAAAAGCUUUCCUAAGAAUCUUUCCCAUAUUUGUAUAUAAACCUUUUCAGGAGAGGAACGGGAGGAGUAUGUGUUUUUUAAUGGGAAAUCAAGUCUCUGGAUCCACGUACUACACAUGUGGCCUGUGACAAGAGGGUGCAAUCCUCUGUAAAAUCUGUCAACUCUUGCUAGCAACUCUUUUGAGUUUUGAAUGGCAGUGUGCUGAAAUACAGGGAAGGAUACUCGGUUAUUUAAAGAAGCUGCUUCUGAGGAAUACAGCUGUGAAUAAAAAAACUUAAAGAACUCAAAACUGACAAGAAUACAAACCUGGAAUGACACACACUGGCUAGGUGUACACUGUACUUAGGCUGUAUUAAACUGAUUUGUAAUUGGUUGAAUUUCUAGUUUAUAAUUCUGACAUUAAACCAUAUAUUUUUGUUAACUGUUUGCACAUUAAUUGCAGCCUUUCCAAAGGGGCUCAUUUAUUCAAUAGGAAUGACAGUAAUAAGUGUUGAGUAACUCGGCACACAUGGUUUCAAUAUUUCAACAUUUAAUUGGUUCACAUUAAAGUGUUUUGAUUUGCUUAAAUGAAAAGUGGGCAAAGAUCACGUAUGCAGAGGGUUAGCACUUAUAUAUACUUUUAUAAUCAGUCGUUGGCGGGUUAAGGAUACAGACGAGGCCAUGUUGCUGUUCUGUGAAACCCUUCUGUGGUUGCUCCGUAGCUGGUGGGUGUUUGUGAACUUCUCUUUCUUAAAGUAAUGAACCUUCCAACAAAAGGAACUUCGGGGUAACACUGAUGUCAUACGCUUGUCAGUUUUAGAUUGAGGGCAUUACACUGCAUUGCCUAGUGGGCAGAAUAUGUAACUAAUUAGUUCUACAUGCUGAGUUUAAAAGUGUAAGGGCAUUAGAAAAUUACUGCAACCUCAUAAGAUGUGAUGAUGCUUUGGGAACAAAUUUUGUUUUGAUCUUUUUCAUUUUACUUCUCACUCCCUGUAAUAUAUUCAUUUUCUCUGACCGUGUCUAUGAUUCUGCUAACCUGUUAGUGUACAGAAUAAAGUUUUACUCACUAAUACUCUGUCUCUGUAACUGAAUUGUGACUGGAGAUUAUAUUGGCUUUUAGUAUAUGGUGACCACAGUCUCUCCAAGACCCCAGUGCAUACUGUAGUGUGUUUAGAGAAGCAUACGUACUUAAAACCACUCAAGCAUAAGACAUCUGAACAGUCACAAUACUCUGUUGCUGUAUUAGAGUGUGGCGCUGGGGAUAAAAGGCGCCCUGGUCCGACUACAUCCUUUAAAUGAAUUCAGGCUUUGCAUACGAGCUGCUCGCUGCUCUUCUUUCCCCCCCAUACCGAUAUUUGACUCACCUGCUGACACACUGCACCAUGCAUGUAAUGAAGCAUGUGAACACGGAGUACC
ensembl:lncRNA